rnacentral:rRNA from 1 species
AUUGAACGCUGGCGGCAGGCCUAACACAUGCAAGUCGAGCGGAUGAAGGGAGCUUGCUCCUGGAUUCAGCGGCGGACGGGUGAGUAAUGCCUAGGAAUCUGCCUGGUAGUGGGGGAUAACGUCCGGAAACGGGCGCUAAUACCGCAUACGUCCUGAGUGAGAAAGUGGGGGAUCUUCGGACCUCACGCUAUCAGAUGAGCCUAGGUCGGAUUAGCUAGUUGGUGGGGUAAAGGCCUACCAAGGCGACGAUCCGUAACUGGUCUGAGAGGAUGAUCAGUCACACUGGAACUGAGACACGGUCCAGACUCCUACGGGAGGCAGCAGUGGGGAAUAUUGGACAAUGGGCGCAAGCCUGAUCCAGCCAUGCCGCGUGUGUGAAGAAGGUCUUCGGAUUGUAAAGCACUUUAAGUUGGGAGGAAGGGCAGUAAGUUAAUACCUUGCUGUUUUGACGUUACCAACAGAAUAAGCACCGGCUAACUUCGUG